GCUACUCUGUCUUUCUCAAACAUCUUCAAGGUCCCGGUGUGGGGAUAUAACGGGCCGGCCCUACGUUCCUCUCCCCAGACACGCUGCUCCGGGACCUCAGGCAGGGUCUACCAGGCCCACCCAGCAGGAGGGAGAGAGAGAGAGAGAGAGAGGACGAGAGAGCUAGGAGUGGCCCAGACUUUUUCACUCGCUGUUCCUUUUUCCUAUGCAUAUACCUCUUUGAGACUUAACUUUAAAGAGGAAUAGGGCAUGGGAAAAUGGGGCUGCAGAGGUAAUACACCCAACGCCCUGACCACCCGAUCACCUUGGAGAGCUGGCCGACCCCCUGGGAUGUGUAGUUUUUGCAAAGAUAAAAGCCUACAAAUGGAAUACUCCUGUGAUGAACAUUGCUGAGUAUCGUCCGGUUCUUAUCUUGUGAUGGAAAUUUGACUGUGAUCAAAGUUAAUCCCAAUUUAAGCUUUAUGUGCUGAUAUAUAGCAUGUAUAUUUGAUCAUGCAUAAUGUGAAUAUUUGUGAAUAUAUCUGUUGUUAUUCAGUCUCUAUCCUUUUUCAUAUAUAAGGAAACUUUGCUGAAAUGUAUACGGUUUUAAUGUAAUUGGUAAACUGAUGAUGGAAACACUUUAUUAAACCCUUAAUAAAUUGUUUUUGUUAAAA